GCAAGUCGAGCGGAAACGACACUAACAAUCCUUCGGGUGCGUUAUUGGGCGUCGAGCGGCGGACGGGUGAGUAAUGCCUAGGAAAUUGCCUUGAUGUAAGGGAUAACCAUUGGAAACGAUGGCUAAUACCGCAUAAUGCCUACGGGCCAAAGAGGGGGACCUUCGGGCCUCUCGCGUCAAGAUAUGCCUAGGUGGGAUUAGCUAGUUGGUGAGGUAAUGGCUCACCAAGGCGACGAUCCCUAGCUGGUCUGAGAGGAUGAUC
rnacentral:rRNA from 1 species